CCAUCAGGCAUCUUGCAGGAAUGUGUGCAGUCAGCUCCCGGGAAGAACUGACGGCUCCCUGAAUUCUUGGGCUGGAUUUGGGACGCCGGAGGCCUUUGCUGAGUGUCUACCGCGCCUCGAGUUCUGAGCUGGACGCGUCCGGCACGUCAGGUCCCUCCCGAGCUGGAGGCUCUGGAUUCGCACCUUGCAGAAGAGCGAACCGAGGCUUCAGUCACCACCGAGGACCCAGACCCCGCCCGCCGCGGCGCCCCUACGGUCUCCCUGGGCCUGAUCUGGGUUCAGAAGGACGGAGUUCCCGCCAGGACCCACUUACGGAGCGCUGCCUGCCGCACCUGGGGACGUCCCGGCGCAGCGUCCAGAGUGCAGGCUUUGCCGCUGUGGCUUUCACUCUGCAGCGUGGGCCCGGGCGACUCGGGAAACCCGCCUGGGCUUCAGCGCCUCCGAUGUAGGAUGGGAAAAUGAUGCAGACCUACCUGCGAGGCUGCUUUAAGACAUGAAUCAGAUGUGAAGAGCGACUAGUUGAGAGCCUGACGGGCAGCACUGCGCGAGUCUUGGUCAUUUCAUCUUUUCCGCAAGUUUUUUUUUUUUUCCAGACGUUGUUUCACUCUUGUCACCCAGGCUGGAGUGCAAUGGCGCCAUCUCGGCUCACUGCAACCUCUGCCUCCCGGGUUCAAGUGAUUCUCCUGCCUCAACCUCCCGUGUAGCUGGGAUUACAGGCGCACGCCACCAAGUCCAGAUAAUUUUGUAUUUUUAGUAGAGACGGGAUUUCUACAUGUUGGUCGAGCUGGUCUCGAACUCCUGACCUCAGGUGGUCUGCCCGCCUCAGCCUCCCAAAGUGUUGGGAUUACAGGCGUGAGCCACUGCGCCCGGCCUCAGCAAGAAUUUUUAAACAUCUACUAUGGGCCAAGUCUUGUGCUAGAUGUUGCAGAUACGGAGAUGAAUAGAGACACCUCUAAUUAAUUAAAGCGGAUGCCCUCCCCACUCCUCCCAGGAUUUGACUCGGAGCACAAACUCUUCACAAACCAAAAUGUCAGGACACCAUCGCCAGUGUCCACUGGCCACUGCUGUUGGUGUGAGGCAGCCAGGAGCCCCUCAGAACUAGUAAGUCUGAGAAGAGGCUGCACGGGGCCUAGGAGAGGGAGAAAUGAGCCCGUCCAAGGUGAAUUCCUUGAUUCUCCAUUGUGAGUGCACCAAGAACAAGCACUCCCUCCGACUGACUCUCGCCUACCAGGAUCUGGAACACCUUCCAUUAAUUUAUUCGUUCAUUCAAUAAAUAUUUAUUGACUGACUACACAUAGAUAUGAAUAUGUACUUUUUGCCCCUAGUUUCUUGCUAUUUUAAAAGUGUAAAAAUGGCCAGGUGAGGCCGGGUGCGGUGGCUCAAGCCU
rnacentral:lncRNA from 1 species